GACCUGGUGGUGAAAUGUAUCAUACCCAUUGCAGUUAUGUGUUCAUUUGAAAAGUGUUUAUGGAGGGUCCCCGGUUCGAAUCUGGGCUAGGUCA